AAUUCAAAAAGCUCUUGAUCAGAAGCAAACAAAAACCACCUCUGACAAUUGAUAAAGAAGAAAAAAAACAAUACUUUAUCUUCGUCUCUGUUUUCUGUCUUCACGAGAGUGACUUUCUCAUUUCGUUGUGACUCUUUCCUUCUGAGUUAUGGUGUGAAAUGAUGACAGCAGCAGGAGAAGCAAGAGCAGUGUGGCAAAGAACAGCUAACCGUUACUUUGUCCAAGAAGAUGCUAAAAGAGCUCCCAAGCUACCAACCUCUUCCCACUCUUCUUCAUCAUCAACUAAACAGGCCUACCUCACAACACAUUAAAACACAUGCCCAAAUUAGAUAAAGUCCACGACCACAAGAAUUAUUAAGACGGCAACCUUCUAGGUCAGAAGGAGAGUUCAGCGGUCCUGGUUAGUAGUGACUACAUGUGUAUAUUAAAUGUGCAGCUCAAACGGGAGAAAUAGUUUGGUCACUGCAUAUUGUUAACGAGAUACCGUUGCAGCUUCAUGAUGGUGUCAAAGUAGUUAUGUGCGAUACUCUAGCUCCUCAUUCAACCUCCCAUUGAAUCUAUAAGUUGCCAUGAAGGUAUCUUCCAAUAACACAAUUUAAAAACUGCUGAUUAAGAUCAUAUUCACACGAUGACAACUCUUCCGAACUUUGUUUUUUCACUUCUUAUUGUGUCAUCUUAUUAAAUUGAGUUUGUUCUAGAAUAUGUAACUUUUAGAAACAGAGGGAAUAUUUUUUAGAUGUUGUUAGAACUCAGUUAUGAUGGAUUUUAAUAGAAUUCAGUAUAUCUUUUUAACUAAAACAAUUCCUACCUUUUUAUCAAUAUUUUUGAAGGAUAUCGAGAAUGGAUAUAUUUUCCAUCAAAGUAAUUGCAUACUUAAAUUCCACUACUUGAUUCAAAUUCCAAUUUUCAAUAACACUUCCUACAUGUGUAGCUCAAACGGGAGAAAUAGUUUGGUGACUUGUACAGUUGCACUAUAUGUGUACGUCAAUAUUUUGGUGUGUACACACAUACAUGCACAUAUAUAUGUAUAAGGCUAUGAAGCAGUGUCAAGGAGUCUUGAGUUGACCUUAAUACAGUUUAAUAAGAUUAUGAAAUUUCUGAUGACUUUCAUAAACAACCUGCCCGCGAUUGUAUUACGUAGUAGAUUAUGUUAUCUUGAGGUUUUUUAUUGAACUGCGCCAUAAUUUUUGACACAUACGGAAUGAUUUGAAUCAUUAAACCCAUCAUUAUUUAUUCCUAAUAAUAUUAAGUUAAGAGGAGCUAGGGUCCAUUUUCUAUAGAACUUAGUUCUAUGGUUUUAUUAUCCCUACUUAUGAUGAAUAUAUAGUUGCUGACAUAAAGGAUCUUAUUAGAAAAUCGUAAUUGUUUAACUUCUUAUGGAUCACAUAAUAAACUAAAAAGUAUCUAAUGGACAGAGAUUGAGGGGAUGAUUGGUAAUAUAUGUGAGUGCUCCACACAGCCAUAAAUUUCUCUAAAGUAAUAAAACCAAAAUAAUCAAGCUUUAUUAAUAAAAUCCAAAGUUACAGCCCAAAUUUUUUAAAAGGAAAUAUAUUGACUAUAGAAAUUAAAUUUUCUACAGCUUUUAUCAAAUGCUUUAAAAAAUAUUCAAAGUCAAAAAAAUAAAACCAAAACAAAAAUCUUACAGUCUAUUUUUCAAAACAAAAAAUCUAAAGCUACAAGCAACAACCAAUCAACCCCUAAAUCAACUUUGCCUUACAUAACGUUCUAUCACUAGGCGAUGCCCACUAUUUACAUUCUAUGUACCUACCUAUCAAAUCUAUUCUAAACCAAAUUAACAUUUAAAGAUAUAAUUUAUAUUUUCAAGAACUAUAGGUAAUUAGUACAUGAGAAUGACUUUUACUAAUAUCAACAUGUAAGAACUUAUUAAAGUUAAUUACUAAUUAGGAGAUAUACACUAAGCGUAGACGCUUAACUUUAAUUUACUUUCUUAUUUUUAUAUCUAGUUUAUAAAAAAUAUGUAUGAUCAUACCAACAGUAUAAAUUAAAAAAGAACGAUCAUCUAACCAAAUUUGAAAAAAAAGAGUCUAACAACACCAUUAAUUAGGACAUAUAUAAAACCUAUUAUAUAAUGCGUGAUGAGUAUAGUGAAGAGCCAGAUUUCUCUCCAAAUAAUCUCGAUAAGAAGUAUUAUCCGUAAAAAAAAAAAAAAAGAGUUCCCACUCGAUUUUUUUGGUUUAACGCCACGUGUGCACAAUAUCUAAUCGAACAGCUCUCUUGUCUGAAAGCAAUGGGCAAAUCUGUGGAACCCAAAGACUCUGACACGAAACUAUGGGUCCUAAAACAGCGUCGUUUAGCGGAAGCUUGCGUACUAAAACACAGAAAAAAAA